UACGUAGGGGGCUAGCGUUGUCCGGAAUCACUGGGCGUAAAGCGCACGUAGGCGGAUUGCUAAGUCAGGGGUGAAAUCCUGGAGCUCAACUCCAGAACUGCCCUUGAUACUGGCGGUCUCGAGUCCGGGAGAGGUGAGUGGAACUGCGAGUGUAGAGGUGAAAUUCGUAGAUAUUCGCAAGAACACCAGUGGCGAAGGCGGCUCACUGGCCCGAUACUGACGCUGAGGCAC
rnacentral:rRNA from 1 species